GUGCCAGCAGCCGCGGUAAUACGUAGGGCGCAAGCGUUAUCCGGAAUUAUUGGGCGUAAAGAGCUCGUAGGCGGUUUGUCGCGUCUGCUGUGAAAUCCGGAGGCUCAACCUCCGGCCUGCAGUGGGUACGGGCAGACUAGAGUGCGGUAGGGGAGAUUGGAAUUCCUGGUGUAGCGGUGGAAUGCGCAGAUAUCAGGAGGAACACCGAUGGCGAAGGCAGAUCUCUGGGCCGUAACUGACGCUGAGGAGCGAAAGGGUGGGGAGCAAACAGGCUUAGAUACCCUGGUAGUCCACCCCGUAAACGUUGGGAACUAGUUGUGGGGUCCAUUCCACGGAUUCCGUGACGCAGCUAACGCAUUAAGUUCCCCGCCUGGGGAGUACGGCCGCAAGGCUAAAACUCAAAGGAAUUGACGGGGACCCGCACAAGCGGCGGAGCAUGCGGAUUAAUUCGAUGCAACGCGAAGAACCUUACCAAGGCUUGACAUAUACGAGAACGGGCCAGAAAUGGUCAACUCUUUGGACACUCGUAAACAGGUGGUGCAUGGUUGUCGUCAGCUCGUGUCGUGAGAUGUUGGGUUAAGUCCCGCAACGAGCGCAACCCUCGUUCUAUGUUGCCAGCACGUAAUGGUGGGAACUCAUGGGAUACUGCCGGGGUCAACUCGGAGGAAGGUGGGGAUGACGUCAAAUCAUCAUGCCCCUUAUGUCUUGGGCUUCACGCAUGCUACAAUGGCCGGUACAAAGGGCUGCAAUACCGCGAGGUGGAGCGAAUCCCAAAAAGCCGGUCCCAGUUCGGAUUGAGGUCUGCACCUCGACCUCAUGAAGUCGGAGUCGCUAGUAAUCGCAGAUCAGCAACGCUGCGGUGAAUACGUUCCCGGGUCUUGUACACACCGCCCGUCAAGUCAUGAAAGUCGGUAACACCUGAAGCCGGUGGCCUAACCCUUGUGGAGGGAGCCGUCGAAGGUGGGAUCGGUAAUUAGGACUAAGUCGUAACAAGGUAGCC
rnacentral:rRNA from 1 species